UUUAGAAUUAUUUAGGAUUAAUUUAUUUGAAAGGGAAAAAACAUAACAAGUUUUGUUUUGAAUGAUUUUAGUGUCAUUUGUGCUGAUUAUGAGUUGCAACAGGUUUGUAAUGCUAUCGUUGUUGCUUGCAGGUAGUACUAAGUUGAAAGUUGAAACUAAUCUUUAAGAAUAUGUCAUGGCAGCCAUGGUUCUCAAGUAAGGAUUCAUCUCUUCUCCAUUUUUAUCUAUCACUUCCUUUCUUACUAUCUCAAUUUUCAUCAACAAUUUUCUUUUCUUCUAUCCUAUAACUCAUAUUAAACUAAUGGUAUGAGUGGUGUGGUUUAUGAGAGUUAAGAAAUUUUAGUUUCAUAGAAGCCUUUAAGUAGUCUUUUCUAUUAUCCAGUUGCUUUCUAUUACUUGGGCUCAAAGUUUUCUUUUGCAACAUCAUAGUGUGUUGUAGCUAACCAUCUAUUUUAUGCAGAUAACAGGUUCACUUCUAAGUAAUUUGCUAGAUGUGGUUGAGGAGGUUCAGUUAGCUCGGGUAGAGAUUAGAAAUUUUGUCUAGGCUAAGUUCAAUUCUCAUUCAGGUAGGCAAAUUUCCUCUCUACUCUAAAUGUUAUACCAUGUGC
rnacentral:lncRNA from 1 species